rnacentral:rRNA from 1 species
UGGGGAAUAUUGGACAAUGGGCGCAAGCCUGAUCCAGCCAUGCCGCGUGAAGGAUGAAGUAUUUCGGUAUGUAAACUUCGAAAGAAUAGGAAGAAUAAAUGACGGUACUAUUUAUAAGGUCCGGCUAACUACGUGCCAGCAGCCGCGGUAAUACGUAGGGACCAAGCGUUGUUCGGAUUUACUGGGCGUAAAGGGCGCGUAGGCGGCAAUUCAAGUCAUCUGUGAAAUCUCCGGGCUUAACUCGGAACGGUCAGAUGAUACUGCUUUGCUAGAGUGCAGAAGGGGCAAUCGGAAUGCUUGGUGUAGCGGUGAAAUGCGUAGAUAUCAAGAGGAACACCUGAGGUGAAGACGGGUUGCUGGGCUGACACUGACGCUGAGGCGCGAAAGCCAGGGGAGCAAACGGGAUUAGAUACCCCCGUAGUCCCUGAGCGGGCUGGCAAGGCGCAU